UACGGGGGGGGCAAGCGUUGUUCGGAAUUACUGGGCGUAAAGGGCUCGUAGGCGGCCAACUAAGUCAGACGUGAAAUCCCUCGGCUUAACCGGGGAACUGCGUCUGAUACUGGAUGGCUAGAGGUUGGGAGAGGGAUGCGGAAUUCCAGGUGUAGCGGUGAAAUGCGUAGAUAUCUGGAGGAACACCGGUGGCGAAGGCGGCUUGCCAGAACGCACUCGACGGUGAGGGAUGAAAGCUGGGGGAGUAAACCGG
rnacentral:rRNA from 1 species